CACGUAGGCGGAUAUUUAAGUCAGGGGUGAAAUCCCAGAGCUCAGCUCUGGAACUGCCUUUGAUACUGGGUAUCUUGAGUAUGGAAGAGGUAAGUGGAAUUCCGAGUGUAGAGGUGAAAUUCGUAGAUAUUCGGAGGAACACCAGUGGCGAAGGCGGCUUACUGGUCCAUUACUGACGCUGAGGUGCGAAAGCGUGGGGAGCAAACA
rnacentral:rRNA from 1 species